rnacentral:rRNA from 1 species
GACGUAGGGCGCGAGCGUUGUCCGGAUUUAUUGGGCGUAAAGAGCGCGUAGGCGGCUCGGCACGUCCGUUGUGAAAUCGCCCGGCUCAACUGGGCGGGGUCAGCGGAUACGGUCGAGCUUGAGCAAGCUAGGGGGCAAUGGAAUUCCCGGUGUAGUGGUGGAAUGCGUAGAUAUCGGGAGGAACACCAGUGGCGAAGGCGGUUGCCUGGAGCUUUGCUGACGCUGAGGCGCGAAAGCGUGGGGAGCGAUCCGG